rnacentral:rRNA from 1 species
AUUGAACGCUGGCGGAAUGCUUUACACAUGCAAGUCGAACGGCAGCACGGACUUCGGUCUGGUGGCGAGUGGCGAACGGGUGAGUAAUAUAUCGGAACGCGCCCAGUCGUGGGGGAUGACGUAGCGAAAGCUACGCUAAUACCGCAUACGAUCUACGGAUGAAAGCGGGGGAUCGCAAGACCUCGCGCGACUGGAGCGGCCGAUAUCAGAUUAGGUAGUUGGUGAGGUAAAGGCUCACCAAGCCGACGAUCUGUAGCUGGUCUGAGAGGACGACCAGCCACACUGGGACUGAGACACGGCCCAGACUCCUACGGGAGGCAGCAGUGGGGAAUUUUGGACAAUGGACGCAAGUCUGAUCCAGCCAUUCCGCGUGCAGGACGAAGGCCUUCGGGUCGUAAACUGCUUUUGUACAGAACGAAAAGGUCUCUAUUAAUACUAGGGGCUCACGACGGUACUGUAAGAAUAAGCACCGGCUAACUACGUGCCAGCCGCCGCAGUAA